UCAUAUUUUAUUAAUACCUAUCUUUUAUUUCUCUCUAAUUUUUAUAAAUUCAGUUUCAAUUCUUCUUUUUAUGAUGUUGGAUACCCUCAAAGCUGGCAGCUUUUUUCUUUUUGCAUUUUGCUCACCAACUGUUUGUAAUUUUGUUUCUUUGUUAGUGUGUUCAGAUAGUGAAGGAGACAUGGGGGUUCAAGUGGGAGACAUGCAAUGCACUAUACCCAUUACACUUAGACUCUGGGGACAAAGUAUUGAGGCAACCCAUUUGGUUCAUAAGAAGUCUUCAUGGCACAAACUUCUUGCCUCCAUUGGCGCCCAUAAAAUUUUUUUCAAUUGAGAUAACGGAUCAAAGAACUGACUUGAACAAUUCACUUGGACUUGAUUGAGGUUCAAUUGCACAUCAAAGAAGCUGUUUGAGCUGCACUAAGUGAACCUCGUAAA